UUUUCUUCAGCUGGGGUCAGUGGACAGAAAUCAAAUGGUGUCCUUCUGGAUUCUUGACAGCAUUUCAGCUGAGAGUCGAAUCUUCUCAAGGAAUUGAAGACGACACAGCCGCAAACAACAUCAGAUUCAACUGCAGUGGAGGUUCUUUGCUGCAGGGCGAAGGCACAUAUUGGGGUGAGUGGGGCAACUGGAGCCCAUUGUGUCAAGGAAGAGGGAUUUGUGGCAUCAUGACACGGAUAGAUGAG